rnacentral:rRNA from 1 species
UACAGAGGUCUCAAGCGUUGUUCGGAUUCAUUGGGCGUAAAGGGUGCGUAGGCGGCGCGGUAAGUCGGGUGUGAAAUCUCGGAGCUUAACUCCGAAACUGCAUUCGAUACUGCCGUGCUUGAGGACUGGAGAGGAGACUGGAAUUCACAGUGGAGCAGUGAAAUGCGUGGAUAUCAUGAGGAAGACCAGUGGCGAAGGCGGGUCUCUGGACAGUUCCUGACACUGAGACACGAAGGCCAGGGGAGCAAACGGG